rnacentral:miRNA from 1 species
UGGCCCUGUCUUUGCCGGGUGCAUUUCCUGGAGUGAACUCGGGGGGCGGUGGGGGUGGGGG